CGCGAUAAACAGUCAAUCAGCAUUGAUGAAGAUGAAAAUGAAGUAGAUAUAGACAAUGAAGUGGAACAUGUUGAAGAUAGUUGUAUUCAGCUGCGUACAUGUUUGAACCGUUGGCCAACGAUUACGCUAGCCCGACCAGGCUGUGCGACGGAUUGUUUAUACAACGGACGGAAUGGAUAUUCUAAUCCUCGCAAUACCGUUUCUUGGAGCUACGAUUACCCAGGCAUAGUUUAAGGCAACCGUGCCAAGGAAACGUGUGAUGCCUUGUUCAUGUUCGUUGCCAAUGUUCAAGGCAACGUCGAACCAGCAGAAGGAAGACUGCUGAAUGGUGAGUUUAGCUCAGUAUUUCAUUGUAGGUACUAGGUGUACAUAAUCAGGAGCGUAUAGGCCUACUGACAUUAUACGCUCCUGACAUAAUGAAAUGUUUUUGCUUUCGGUACAAGCUAAAUAGGCCUAGCCAAGUUUUUUCCAACAGAUAAUGCAACUGUCAGAUUUCCCAUUCUACAGUACUGUCUAAUUUUCUAAAUAGAGUAGCCUCAGUACUACAGUAGGCCUGACUAAAGAAAAGCAAAGCUGACAAUAGUCAAUAGUAAAUGUUUUAGCGUACCGGUAGUGGAAAUUAUGACAGGACUUAAUACGUAGAAUUUAUGCACAUGAUAAUAGUCAAGAGUAAAUUGUUUUA